UUGAACUUUUGUUGCAGACAUAUCCAGAUAAUGCAGCAUACCAUUUUGCGUGUGUUUCACUGUCGGCAUAAAGUACGUGGUAAGGAGAGGGGGAACGGACUCAUGUACCAGCGCUUGUUGAUGACGUUUCAGUUAUUCUAGCAGACGCAAUGGAGGUAGAGGCAACAAAUGAAGAUUGCUCCUGGCUUCCUUUUAUUCUUGAUAUUAUAAAAUGCAUGGAUAAAGACAGUAUGGAUGUGAACCAAGAGCUGACCAAGCUAAAGACUAAAAUUCAAGAGACCAGGGAGAAGAUCCUAGCCAUGCCUGAGAUAGAGUCCAGUCCUGGGGAGCAGCAGGAUCAGCUGAAGACCAUGAGAGAGAAGGUGGACACCAAGACACAGCUCCUACAAAAAUACAAGGGCCUCUGUGUGUUUGACUCCCCCAAAUCAUAGUGGGAUGGGGACAACAUUUUGGUGAAUGGAUUAUCAGGGCAUGGACCGAAAAGACUAAGUAUGGCAUCCAAACUAAUUUAGCUAGGUUUCACUGUUGUUUAACUUCAAGUUAAAUAAUGGUGAGUGCAGCGUUCAGUCUGGUUUAACCAGGCUACAAAAGACUGACAUUUUUAAGCCAAAUGUGUUCAUCAUUCAGUGAAUUCAUAGCCUGGCUUCUUUCAAUUUAGAUAGGUACUGACUGUUUGAUAUCGCGCAAUUGUAGAACAGAAUUAUUAUCAAUAAUAAGUGUUAAAUAGGGUAUAUUUAGCUGAUUUUAUUGUUGUAUUGUAGAAAUAAACAUUUCAUUGGGCCUUUUUUUUUGUUAUUCUCAGUUAUGUGGAUGGUAUCUGAAGUAUUCAGUCAUAACAAUGAUUGGUAGACAUAGCAAAGCAAAUUCCUGGAAAGGCCUACCUAGCCCAUUGAAGUACCAACACAAAGCAGUCGUCUGCCAAGAGAGAACAGCAUAUUAAUUAGCAUUGUAAUUACAUGUUUCAGCCAUUAAACGGAAGAACAGAAUGUUACAGAAGGCAGGGGAAUUAUUUUGAUUGGAACGGUUGUAAAAGAUCAUGUCCCAGUCUUUUCAGGAUAGGCAUAAUCAAGACAUGCAUGUCGCUGUUCUUGUGUAUGAAUUUACAGGACAAGUUGAGCUAAAGGGGUAAGUUGAGUCACCCUAUCAUUUUACCAAAUGUUUAGGAAGAGGUCAUCAUUUCAUGGAGUGUCAUGGAAGAAAACACAUGAAGAAAGUUAAAUCAGAAAAAAAUAUUUUCGGCAAGUCAAAUUAAUGUAUUAUGUUAGCGGUUUCAUGAUGCUUGUAUCUAAACCAAAGGAAAUCAUUUUAAGAUUGUUCUAAACAUCAGUUGGGGUCUCUAACCUUCAAUAUGAGGUCUUAAACACAGCAUGAAAGUACACUGGGAUAUGAGGUAACAACAAGGCCUGGCCUAUGUUAAAAGUGUUUAAAAAAUACGAAGUGUUUAAAUGUUAAGCCUAUGUUAAAAAAUGCUUAAAAUUAUUCAAAGACAAAAAAGCGAUUGUAAUUGUGUUUGGGAAAUAAAUAUAGACAUGGUUUUAAAAAGGUAGUAGUAAUAUUUCAUUCAGUACAGAAUUUGUAGGUGGCUUAACUUACCCUGUUCCGCGGUUCAAUUGUGCCAUGAGACCACUUUUUUGGGACAAGCUAUGAAUUCUGAUUAUUUUCUGGGUUACACAGCAUCCUGAAAUCAGUGGCUGUUCUAGACCAUUUCAACUGGGGGGGGGGGGGGGGGGGGGGGCAGUUACAUUAGACGUUAUUGUUGUCAUAUCGUUUUCUACACUGCAUUGCAGGCAAAAGCCCAUGUUCAUAAUCCUUCAACAAUUUAUUUGCAUUUUCUGUCUAAUAACAGAUGGAGAGAAAAAAAAGGAAAAAGAAUGAUAGCAAAAAUGUGUUAUGUAAGAAUGAUUUCAUACUCCACAUUUAGGGGGGCCACAAGGGGGUCCAAAAUUGUCACAGGGGCACUGCCCCCCCCCCCCCAGAACCGCUAGUGCCUGAAAUAUACAAUAUGUAGAUAUCUUUGUUAGAAAGAAUACUAUAUUUCAACGUACCCCACUCUCCCAUCCACAGGACUAUGCUGAAUUUGAUGUGUUGAGAUGUUCCUGGUUGGUUGAAGGUUUAGAACAGGACUACGUUAUGUGCUUUAGUCUGGUAGGAAAGCCUUGUUGUUUCCGUUGAUGCUUUCUUGUAGGACAUUACAUGUACCAGCUGUUAUAUUUUCGGUGUCAUGGUGUUGGCAGAGGCAUGUAGGCCAAGGAUAUACAUUCUUAUCAUGUUUAUGUUUGUCCCCAAGGAGUGUAAUCUUUGAACUCAGAAUUCAUUUUUUAUUUUUUUAAAUACACUCAGUGUACAAAUCAUUAGGAACACAUUCCUAUUAUUAAGUUGCAUCCCCCUUUGCCUUCAGAACUGUAACUCAGUAAAAUCUUUGAAAAU